rnacentral:lncRNA from 1 species
GGGAAGGCGGUCUGCUGUGACUCCAGGGAGGACGGUGUGGAGGUAACCACAGACAUAACGACGCAGCCCAUGGGACUGAUUGCAGGCUCGCCACAGCACCCUCAUUCCUUAUUGAUGUGCACCUGCUUUCAUGUUUCUUUCUUCUUGUUUCCCAAGAUGGGUUUUCCUGAUGCCUCUGAUCGCUGGGCAGAGAGAGGCACUAAAAGAAAUUGUUUAGGUCAGGCUUGGGGAGAAGCAAACAGGUAUCUGGAUGGGCUUUGGAGGUAGCAGCACUGUUGUGUCUGCAAUGACAAGGAUGGGUUUAGUGCGAAAGCGAGUGAUCUGAGCAAAAAGCAGAACUGUGUACACCUCAAGGCUCCAAGCAGCAAAAUUGCAGCUUGGAUUUAAGUUCAGAUUGCUGAGUUCAGCUUUGCUUAUCUAAUUCACUCAGUGCUUUGGGACAUUAUUGACAGUCACGCUUUUGUAAAGCUGUACGGGCCUGUGUCUGCUGGGAUGUGCUGAAGAAAAGGUCCUUUUCUGUGCUCACACUGGGGAGAAAAAGUGUCUGUGUGUGUAUGACCUUCCGUCAGCUAUAGCAUCUCCAUUUGGGAGGGAGGAUAUGUGUCCCUUCCUUAUGUCAGAGUGUAAAUACCCCCAGAGUCUGAUGAGGUAAAGCUUGCCCAGCAGAGUUGUCUCUUUCCCCACUGAUGAAGGUGGGAAGGUGUCUCAUGGGACAGCAGGAAGGUAAAUCAGUUGGUCCAGAGGGAACUGAACAGUAACCUUGAGAGCAGGCAAGAGACCUGCAAUGCCCUAGAUGAUCCUGGUGAUCCUCCACACAGACCCAACUGCAGCAGCACCAAGGUCCACCAGUGGCUCAGAAGAACCCUGGCCAUCAGUCCCACAAUGUUUGCACCUUGGUGAACAAAGAUCUGCUCUGCACCCUAGAUGUUGCCUGAACGCUAGGCUUCAGCAGCUCCCAUCCUUGACACAACUAGUUGCAGAGAAUAAAUUUUGUACCAGCACCAUCCCUCCCUCCACUUCUGUGAUUGCUCCUGCAGGCCAUUAACAGCAGCACGACAUGCAGCAGCACAGACCAGACUGGGGCACAGUUUGCUCUGUUUGGGGUCCUACAAAUGUAGCUUGGUUCCACCUGCAUCUCUAUAAAACCUGAUCUUAAGCACACUCCAUUCAUUCAUUCAAAAUCCCACAAUGACAUAAAAUCCAGAGUUCAAGCACCGUGACUUCCCAGAGACAGGAGAGGAAAAAACAGCUGUGAUUUUGUAGGUGAAAAGCCAAAAACGUUUGACUGUGGUUUUGCAGGUGUGAUUUCUGUGCUGCAUCCAGGAUGAGCACUGGAGGUUACAAUGUGAAGUUUGACACCAAACUUGCAAGCAUGGCUUGUGGUAACAACAUUUGGGGAUAGCAAAAAGUCCCAGAAGAGGUAAGGAAAGAUAAUUGUGGACAGUGUGCUGACACUCAGGGAUGAGGCUGAAGGAGUGUGCAGGGACUAUGCCCAGGAUGGAGGAAGUGCCGCUUCCAGAGUCAUCAAUAAAGCAAAUCCAGUCUUCCGACUGAAGAUGUGA